CGUCCAGCGUGGCGGCCGCGGUGCCGGGCGUUUUUCGCCGGGGUGACCGCACUGUUCUAGGUCCUAAGGAUGCAGAGAUGAGUAAAUCUCGUAGCUGGUGGUUGGAAGAUAUACAAAAAGUGAAAAGAUAGAACCCUGCCAGUAAUUCUUCGGUGUUACUAAGUCAGGCUCCCACGCUGUAGUCAAGAUUCUAGCAGGAAAGCGCUACGUUGCUCAUUGUUCUAAACACAAGUUAAAUGGAAAUGGAAAGCAAAAAUUGUAAGACAGGGGCUUCCCUGGUGGCGCAGUGGUUGAGAAUCUGCCUGCCAAUGCAGGGGACACAGGUUCGAGCCCUGGUCCGGGAAGAUCCCACAUGCCGCGGAGCAACUGGGCCCAUGAGCCACAGCUACUGAGCCUGCGCGUCUGGCGCCUGCGCUCCGUAACGAGAGGCCGCGACAGUGAGAGGCCCGCGCACCGCGAUGAAGAGUGGCCCCCACUCGCCGCAACUAGAGAAAGCCCUCGCACAGAAAUGAAGACCCAACACAGCCAAAAAUAAAUAAAUAGGUUUAUUAAAAAAAAUUGUAAGACAACUUUUCAUAUUCUCACAAGGAGAAAUGAAAAACCCUUGAACGAUAGGGGAAAGAGCAAAGGUCUAUAUAUUACUAUUUUUGUUUCCUUAAUGGAAUCAAAGUUGCAUCUUAAUCUUGCAAAAAGUGCUAUGUACACCCCUCACCCAGUUCCGAUUUCCCCUGAUGUUGUCCUUUUACACAACCAUGGUACAUUUGUCACAACUAAGAAACCGACCUGGAUGCACAGGGAUUCAGUACCCUCGAGAGAUGGAUGAAGUCUUUUGGUUUGCUAGGACUAGUGAUUCUAGUGCUUUUAAUUUCAUGACUGUGUUUUUAAAGGCGGACAUUUCUGAACCGUUUAAGUAACGUUGAGACGCCAAAUGCGUGGGCAGGAAAUCCUCCUGGUGGUGUUGGCGGAUGUUUCCUUCAAUCCUGCGGCUGCCCACCCCUUUCUAGAGAAGAGUUGCAACACUUCUUGAAGUUCAUUUGUGUGUAUUAGGGUUCUAAGAAAUUCAGUACUCCUUUGGCUUCCACAAAACCCUGUAGUUCAUUUGCUCGGUAAAUUAAACAGAGCCUAAAAGGGCACAACAACAAAAGAAAAAGGUUCGUUUGAAAAGUGAAAAGAUAUUGCAGGCUCUCUUUUGCACUUGGCAUUGACCCACAGCAGUAAAUGGCUCAACAUUUGGUUUUGUCUCCUUAAAGAAAGCACAAACUCUGCAUUGUCGGUACCUUUAUUGACACCAAGGUUCAAAGGUGGCAAG